rnacentral:ncRNA from 2 species
GGCUACUUGUCGGAGUGCCCUCGAGGCUGAGACCGUUAUUAUACGGGAUCCGUUGAACCUGAUCAGGCUAACACCUGCGUAGGAAACAAAAGUAACCCAUAG